rnacentral:rRNA from 1 species
GAUGAACGCUGGCGGCGUGCCUAAUACAUGCAAGUCGAGCGAACAGACGAGGAGCUUGCCCCUCUGAUGUUAGCGGCGGACGGGUGAGUAACACGUGGAUAACCUACCUAUAAGAAUGGGAUAACUUCGGGAAACCGGAGCUAAUACCGGAUAACAUGUUGAACCGCAUGGUUCAACAGUGAAAGACGGUCUUGCUGUCACUUAUAGAUGGAUCCGCGCCGCAUUAGCUAGUUGGUAAGGUAACGGCUUACCAAGGCAACGAUGCGUAGCCGACCUGAGAGGGUGAUCGGCCACACUGGAACUGAGACACGGUCCAGACUCCUACGGGAGGCAGCAGUAGGGAAUCUUCCGCAAUGGGCGAAAGCCUGACGGAGCAACGCCGCGUGAGUGAAGAAGGUCUUCGGAUCGUAAAACUCUGUUAUUAGGGAAGAACAAAUGUGUAAGUAACUAUGCACGUCUUGACGGUACCUAAUCAGAAAGCCACGGCUAACUACGUG